rnacentral:rRNA from 1 species
UACGGAGGGUGCAAGCGUUGCUCGGAAUUACUGGGCGUAAGGCGUACGCAGGCUGUCCGUUAAGUCGGGUGUGAAAGCCCGGGGCUCAACCCCGGAAUUGCGCCCGAAACUGGCGGGCUUGAGUGCGGGAGAGGGAAGCGGAAUUCCUGGUGUAGAGGUGAAAUUCGUAGAUAUCAGGAGGAACACCGGUGGCGAAAGCGGCUUCCUGGCCCGACACUGACGCUCAUGUACGAAAGCGUGGGGAGCAAACAGG